ACAUUUCAUGCCUCAGUACGGCGAGUGAGCGGCAAAAGCUCAAAUUUUAAAGCUGGCACCUUCGGUGUCCGCGUUGUAAUUUUGUGAGGCAUCUCCGGGUAGGGCGCCGGCCUAAGUUCCUUGGAACAGGACGUCAUAGAGGGUGAGAAUCCCGUGCUUGGCUGGCUGUCCCCGUCCAUGUGAGGUGUCUUCGACGAGUCGAGUUGUUUGGGAAUGCAGCUCAAAAUGGGUGGUAAAUUUCAUCUAAAGCUAAAUAUUGGUGGGAGACCGAUAGCGCACAAGUAGAGUGAUCGAAAGAUGAAAAGCACUUUGAAAAUAGAGUUAAAAAGUACGUGAAAUUGUUGAAAGGGAAGCGCUUGAGACCAGACUUCGGUGGGGGGUGAUCAGCUGUCCUUCUGGGCGGUGCACUUGCUCCCCUCCGGGCCAGCAUCGGUUGGGGCGGCGGGAUAAAGAUCACGGGAAUGUGGCUCCUUUCGGGGAGUGUUAUAGCCCGGGUGAAUGCCGCCAGCUCCGACCGAGGACCGCGCCUUCGGGCUAGGAUGCUUGGCAUAAUGGUCUUCAGCGACCCGUCUUGAACCCACGGGACCAGACU
rnacentral:rRNA from 1 species